rnacentral:miRNA from 1 species
GCUGAGUCAGUUGGCCUCUUCUGA